GGACCGUUAGCUCAGCUGGCUAGAGUGCUCGCCUCACACGCGAGAGGUCACUGGUUCAAGUCCAGUACGGUCCA
rnacentral:tRNA from 1 species